rnacentral:rRNA from 1 species
AUUGAACGCUGGCGGUAGGCCUAACACAUGCAAGUUGAACGCGAAAGUCCUUCGGGAUGAGUAGAGUGGCGGACGGGUGAGUAACGCGUAGGAAUCUAUCCUGUAGUGGGGGAUAACGUUUCGAAAGGAACGCUAAUACCGCAUACGCCCCAAGGGGGAAAGCGGGGGAUCUUCGGACCUCGUGCUAUAGGAGGAGCCUGCGUCGGAUUAGCUAGUUGGUGAGGUAAAGGCUCACCAAGGCGACGAUCCGUAGCUGGUCUGAGAGGAUGAUCAGCCACACCGGAACUGAGACACGGUCCGGACUCCUACGGGAGGCAGCAGUGGGGAAUAUUGCGCAAUGGGCGAAAGCCUGACGCAGCCAUACCGCGUGUGUGAAGAAGGCCUUCGGGUUGUAAGGCACUUUCAGUGGGGAGGAAAAGCUGGUGGCUAAUAUCCAUCGGCCGUGACGCUACCCACAGAAGAAGCACCGGCUAAUUCCGUGCCAGCCGCCGCCGUAAAAC